rnacentral:rRNA from 1 species
UACGUAGGGUGCGAGCGUUGUCCGGAAUUAUUGGGCGUAAAGAGCUCGUAGGCGGCUUGUCGCGUCGGAUGUGAAAGCCCGGGGCUUAACUCCGGGUCUGCAUUCGAUACGGGCAGGCUAGAGUUCGGUAGGGGAGAUCGGAAUUCCUGGUGUAGCGGUGAAAUGCGUAGAUAUCUGGAGGAACACCGGUGGCGAAGGCGGCAUCCUGGACCGACACUGACGCUGAGGAGCGAAAGCCAGGGGAGCAAACGGG